rnacentral:rRNA from 1 species
GUGAAACUGCGAAUGGCUCAUUAAAACAGUUAUAGUUCCUUUGGGAACCCCACUACUUGGAUAACCGUAGUAAUCCUAGAGCUAAUACAUGCCUUAACGCCCAACUCACGGAGGGUGGUAUUUAUUGGAUAAAAAACCAUCGUGCUCUUCCCAGAGUGCUUUGAGAUGAUUCACAAUAACUUGUCGGAUCGCACGGCCCUGUGCUGGCGACGCCUCAUUCAAAUUUCUGCCCUAUCAACUUUCGAUGGUAGAGUAUUGGUCUACCAUGGUGUCGACGGGUAACGGGGAAUUGGGGUUCGGUUCCGGAGAGGGAGCCUGAGAAACGGCUACCACAUCCAAGGAAGGCAGCACGCGCGCAAAUUACCCAAUCCCAACACGGGGAG